GACAGAGGGUGCAAACGUUGUUCGGAAUUACUGGGCGUAAAGCGCGUGUAGGCGGCUAUGUAAGUCGGGCGUGAAAUCCCACGGCUCAACCGUGGAAGUGCACCCGAAACUGCGUAGCUAGAGUCCUGGAGAGGAAGGUGGAAUGCUUGGUGUAGAGGUGAAAUUCGUAGAUAUCAAGCGGAACACCGGUGGCGAAGGCGGCCUUAGCUGGACAGUGACUGACGCUGAGACGGCGAAAGCGUGGGGAGCAAACAGG
rnacentral:rRNA from 1 species